rnacentral:rRNA from 1 species
UACGUAGGGUGCGAGCGUUGUCCGGAAUUAUUGGGCGUAAAGAGCUCGUAGGCGGUGUGUCGCGUCGGCCGUGAAAACCUGGGGCUUAACUCUGGGCGUGCGGUCGAUACGGGCAUCACUGGAGUUCGGCAGGGGAGACUGGAAUUCCUGGUGUAGCGGUGAAAUGCGCAGAUAUCAGGAGGAACACCGGUGGCGAAGGCGGGUCUCUGGGCCGAUACUGACGCUGAGGAGCGAAAGCGUGGGGAGCAAACGGG